AACGAACGCUGGCGGCAGGCUUAACACAUGCAAGUCAACGCAUCCUUCGGGGGGAGUGGCAGACGGGUGGGUAAAGCCGGGGAACGGGCCCUUCAGUUCGGGAUAACCCCGGGAAACUUGGGCUAAUACCGGGUUAGGUCGGGGGGAGAAAGAAUUAUAGCCUGAAGGAACGGCCCGCGUCUGAUUAGCCAGUUGGUGGGGGAAGGGCCCACCCAGGGGACGAUUAGUAGCUGGUCUGGGAGGAUGAUCAGCCACAUUGGGACUGAGACACGGCCCAAACUCCUACGGGAGGCAGCAGUGGGGAAUAUUGGACAAUGGGCGCAAGCCUGAUCCAGCCAUGCCGCGUGAGUGAUGAAGGCCUUAGGGUUGUAAACCUCUUUUAGUAGGGAAGAAGCGAAAGUGACGGUACCUGCAGAAAAAGCACCGGCUAACUACGUGCCAGCAGCCGCCGUAA
rnacentral:rRNA from 1 species